AGGAAUAACCAUCAUCUAUUAUCCAUCCUCAGAAUAUGCUCCCACUCCUGGUUUUAAUGCACAAAGUACUCCGAGAUGCGUGUGCUGUUAUCACAGAGCAGGGUAAGAGAUACGCUACAAGUCUCUCAAUUCCAUGCUAGGACUCAAGAUGGGAGUGUUAAAACUACAGAAGACAAACCAUCAAAGAAAAACAACAACAACAAUAACAACAAAAAAAGCAAAGCCAAGAACUUAAAUAAAUUAAAAAAAACACAUUAUAACUUUGCCCUUCAGGGAUCAUCUCCUGAAACGAUUUUAUAAAAUCUCUCAACUCUAUCUCAGAUAUAGAAGACAGCUAGUCACUGCAUAAAUGGUUUCCUGCCUUUCUUUGAAGGAUUUCUUUCUCCUGUAUUUCAUCUUUUCCCUUAUCAGAGUAUUAACCCCGUAUGAAGCUCCCCAAAUUUUCUAAGUUCUGGAGAGGGAGCAAAACAUUGCAAAGCUUGAUGCGUUUGUUUUGUUAGAUGUGUUUUAGGAACGAUUUCAUCAUAUUUUUCUGAGAUUUUGUGUGAGCCCUGUAUGACUGAAACUUUUAGCAUCCCCUGGAACAUUACAAAAACUACAGAAUUGCCUUUUAUUCUGGGCCUAUUUUAUUACUGUCUUUUACAUCUCUUAACUACUUCAGAUGUCUUUGUUCUAACACUUUGUUGAUCUGGAGCUUUUUGACUGUGUUUCGGUGGGUUACAAGGACACAUGUGACUAGCUUAUUUUUCCCAUUUGGACGGUUUCGAACAUAAGGUGAUUGUGUAUACCAGAGAUAAGUGCCUCAGUCUUUUCUCCUACCAGCAAAGAAUUCUGUGUUAAUCGUCUAUAAAGUAGACAAUAGGUGCUGAGUUAUGAGUUGUUCAGUAGACCUGCUUACAACUAAAAUUAUCCGUGGAAACCACAGUUUAUGGUUUUUUUUACUGCUCCUUUUCAGUUAUUGUUAUUGCUUGGCUUUUGGCUGAAACUUGGACUUUUUAACAGGGUCUGUUAACUUUUCAGAAUGACUAACUUUGGUAGUUAAUUAUAUGAGUUCUUCUCUCUGUGCUCAUUUUUAUUCAAACGGUUCAUUAACUAAGAACAUCUUUGGAAACCUAAGACAUCCUUCUAGGUAAAUAUCUGUAGAAGAGAUAAAUACUGUGCAGAUCUGCACAUAAAUACAGCAGUUGCCAGUGCUGUUAUCUUUUACAGUCAGCACUGUGGUUUUAAUGUGAAAAAAUAACAUAAAAGCUUCCUGUCAGUUUGGCUUAAAGGGGCUAUCUGAGUCAAUGGGUAGUAAGUGAGGGAACAAUAGAUAUAAUAAUCUGUGCUUACACACAAAUUUUAAGAAAACUCUUUAGAGGGAAAACCAUUUCCUCUAUCUUCACAGCGUCAGCUUAUUGGAGAAAUUCAAGGUCAAGUUCUAGGACUAGUGAAGCUCAAAUGUCCUUGACUUUAGGCAAUGAAAUGAUACUGUCCUUGAACAGGCAGAGGGGCACCAGCCAUCAGCAAUAAAUCGGUGAGUUGCUUCUGAGUCGACACGUCUGUACUGAUAGUAAUCAUUGCUUGUGGAGUUGAUAAAGUUGUCAGUUGUGCUUAUGUCCACUUUUUGUUUCAGAAACUUAGCCCACGUCUCUCCAUUUUCUUUUUCAUUAAUUUGUGUUUUAAACCAUUAGAUUAAGACAGGAGGUUUUAAAGAUGUUCUCCAGUUCCCGUGAGGUUCUGUUCACAGCUCACGGGAAACACACGUCCCACCCGGCAACGUGGCAGCUGGAGGAGAAAGAUACUGAGAUGCAGGGAGAAGAGGACUACUUUUGGAUGUUAACAGAUCUCCAUUCCAGUUGGAUUGUUCUCUGACUUCUUAGCUAUGUGACCAGAAAUCAAUCUUUUAGCUUCUCUGCUCCUUGACUUCUUCCCCACCCUAACUCUGAUUAAAUAUAUCAGCACAUAUUUUUUUUUACUUUAAAAUUUAUAAUGGAAAUGCAAAAUACGUAGAAAUGCUAAAACAAUCUCAAAAAAGAUGAAUAAAUUUAAAGGCAAAGGUCAAUCAGCUGUUAUGUCUUUUUAGAGAGCUGCAGUUACUGACACAGAAGAGAGGACUCAGAAAGCCAAGCAAACAUGCAAAAAUAAAUUUUGACAAAAAUGCAAAAGUGAUUCUGUGAAGGAAGGUAGCUGUUUAAUUUUUAAUUUUUUUUUUUAAUUUUUAGGGCUACACCAGGUACAUGUGGAAGUUUCCAGGCUAGGGGUCAGAUUGGAGCUGCAGCUGCCUGCCUAUGCCACAGCCACAGAAACUCGGGAUCUGAGUUGUGUCUGUGACCUUUACCACAGCUCACAGAAAUGCCAGAUAAUUAACCCACUGAGCGAGGCCAGGUACUGAACCCACGUCCUCAUGGAUCCUAGCAGGGUUUGUUAUCGCUGAGCCACAAGAGGAACUCCAAGAUAAACUUUUUAAAAAAUGCUCAGCAGCUAACAAACCCGACUAGGAUCCAUGAGGAUGAGUGUUCUGUCGCUGGCCUCACUCAGUGAGUUGGGGAUCCAGCAUUUCUGUGAGCUGUGGUUUAGGGAACUCCUCAAGAUACUUUUAAAUUAAGGUAUAUACAUUGUUUUUUAGACCUAAUUCUAGUGUACAUUUAAUAGAAUACCAUGUAGUGUAAACAUCACUUUUACAUGCACUGGGAAACCAAAAAAAAAAUCACAUGGCCCACUUCAUUUUGAUAUUCCUUCAUUGCAGUUAUCUGAAAGAGAACCCGCAGUAUCUCUGAGGUAUUUCGUAUUUGCCAAGUGUUAGAAAGUAUAACGGAGGGAGGUGCCUGUGUCUAUUAAAAGGUAGCAUGAGGAGCCUUGUGAUGGAAUUAUUUUGUGUCUUGACUGGUGGUGGUCACAAUAACCUUUUAUCACAUUAAUUUUAUCGCACAUGUUAAAAUCAAGUAGAACUAUGUAUACACAUACAAAUGGGUGCAUAUAAAAUUGGUGAAAUUGAAAUGCUAUGGGCGGAAUGUAUAAAUAUCAAUUUUUUGGCUGUGACAGUGAGUGCAGCUUUUGUCACAGUGUUACGAUGUAGAGAAACUAAGUGAAAGAUCCUGGGACCUCCCUCCACAUUUUUUUUUUUUUUUUUGCAACUUCUGAAAAUCUAUAGUCAUUUCAAGAUAAAUAUAUUUUUAAAGAAAAGAAUUAUGAAGACCCUUUCAGGUCUUCUAUUUUCUGAUGUAACCUUUGUUUGAGAAAACUAAGCUUUGGUUGAUCACUCUUCCCUUCCCAUUCAAGGUCCACUCAUUAAAACGAUGUUAGAUAUGAGAAGGGUAACUCAGGGCAUCUGGGUCUUUAAAAGAGCCCGUAGAUGUUCUUUACAGAAGUACUGGUGAGAAGAAUAGAAGAUGGAACCCUGGGGUGAUUCUGUCAACAGUAGUUCUCAAGCUUUAGCAUACAUCAGAUUCAUGUGAAGGCUUACAAAAACACAGCCCCAGAGUCGAUGAUCAGCAGAUCUGGGGUGAAGCUCCAGAAUGGGCAUUUCUCACAAGUUCCCAUGUGACACUGGUACUCAGGCUGAUGCUGCUGCCCAGAGACCACACUGUAAGAACCAUCACCCUAGAACAUUGGAGUGGCAAUUUUAAACUGUCCCAAGAAACUUCCAAGUAGAAUGAAAUGGAAUGAACUAUUUAAGAAUUUUCUGUGUUUACAUCCUUUUUUGUUUGUAUAGGUCCCCCCCCCAUACAUUGGCUGAUAAAAAUGUUUUUGGUUCCUUGUCUGUGUGGGCUCAAGAAGUAUGUCAUUGAGUUAAUUUACAAAGCCUCUUGUUGCACAUCUGUCACAUUCUCAGAAAAUAUUAUCCCAGAAAAAUCCAUCAACACAACCCAUAAGCCCCUAAAUGGACUGCACACUUGGCAUGCAAGAGAGAAAAAGAAACCAAUGAAAUGCAAAAAGUGAUCUGUAUAGAGGCCUCAAAGUGAAUUCAAAAGUUAAAUCCUAUAACACAAUAUGGGAUUCCAUUAGGGGUUCGUUUUUACAGGGUUUCUUUAAUGGGUUUUAAAAUAGAAAUGCUGUCCUAGGCAGAGCAUUGUAAUGAUAAAUUGAACAUACUUUGGAGUCACAUGUCUCCUUUUUUUAUUUUUUUUUUUUCAUUUUAGUUUUGCUACUUACUAGCAGUCUUAAUAUGGUCAAGAUAAUUAAUAUAAGUUCUAGCUUCCUUCUAUAGAAAAAUAUAUAAUAAUGCUUAAGUUACAGGAAUCAUUAGAAUUAUUAAGAAUACGUCUAAAACAACUAGCACAUUGUCUGACAAUUUCUCAAUAAAUAGUUGCAGUGAUGAUAUUGAGAAGGAUGGAGCUGAUGAUUUCAACUGACAGAAAUGAAAUAGCAAUUAUAACCAUUACCACUGGUCACUAUUUUACUGAGCAACUACAAAAUCUCAGGUUCUGUGAAAAGAACUUUCCUUUUUUUUUUUCCGCAUUACAUCUUCAGGGAGUUCCUGUUGUGGCUCAGUGGGUUACACACCCAACUAGUAUCCAUGAGGAGGCAGGUUCGAUCCCUGGCCUCACUCGGUGGGUUAA
rnacentral:lncRNA from 1 species